GUGCUUGAUUCGGCAGCACAUAUACUAAAACUGGAAUGAUACAGAGAUUAGCAUGGCCCCUGUGCAAGGAUGAAGUGCAAAUUCAUGAAACGUUCCAUUUUUUU
rnacentral:snRNA from 2 species